UUGCACAAUCAGCUACGAUCGAGGAAAGUCAGAAAGCGAUGAAGAACCGUGAACAACAUCUGUAAGCACUAAGCUGCAUCAAUGUAUAUAUGGAUAUGGACGACACCCUUAUUAUUCCCUUGACUAAUACUGAAGGUUUUGAGAACUUCCGAUGAAUUAAAGCUGUUGAUUUGGGAUGAUAGUCCUAAUGUUUAGGUGAAAAUAUAAACAAAGGCUUCCAUAGAUUUGGAUAUCGGAUGCGAUAGUUGGAGGCUUAGUAUGAUGGGCAUGCAAUGCCAAUUCAUUAGUGUAUGAUGGCGGGACCAAUUCAGAUUCUCAUAAGGAAGCCAACUGAAGGUUGGUCCCAUGACGAUGGUGAUCUUCAGUUUGGGGAGAUUGUAUGAACGCACAUGGUACUGCACACUUCCUAAAAGAACGGUCAAAGUGGAAAUGAUUGAGACGGAAGCUACAAACCUAGGAAAUUUUAAUGGAUGACUUAGCUACAAAUCUUAGUAAAUGUAUAUGAGUAGAAAAGUUGGAGCUCCGAGGUUGUUGUGGAGGAAAUCUUAGCUACUGCAACUAUAUAUAGGCUGAUCAAGUGUCUACAACCACGGGUUUGAUUUUUUGUUUAUGUUUUGGUGCUGCGUAUAUAUUGCAUCGGUGCAUGCAUACCAGUAUAUAUGUCAAUGGCCACCUAUGGUUCGUGUUUAAAACGAUAUAUAGAAGUCUAUGUCCAGGGAACCGCACAUUGAUUGAUUCCUUUAUAGGAAAGUUUACCUCUACAUCCAUUUUGAGGUUAUUUUUAACUUCCAUUUACAAAAUCUGAUGAUAGCAUCAGAUUUUAGAUAAGAUAAGAAUGUAGUGGUUAAUUCAUGGAGGGUCACACCUUAUCUUUCCUUGCAUAUUUUAUCUAUAUGCAUCUAUUUUGUUUGAUUAAUAUAUAUAUAUAUAUAUGUAUGUAUUCAGUAGAUUCUGAAUACUCUAUUCGAUCCCCGCAAUAAUAGUUCAAUAGCGGGGUGGUGUGUGAGUAAUAAAAUCCUCCAAUUCUACAUACUCAAGCGAUUUUGCUUUGAAGCGUUAUCGCAAAAGGGAUGAUAUAUAUUGCUGAGUAGUCCUCAUGAAAAACGCCUUUGCUAACAGCUUGACUAGACAAACUUGAGCUUUAGUUGAGAGCUUUACCUUGACUAAACAGUUCAUGAACAAUAUGUCAUCGGAAACUAAUGUUGCUAUGUGGGGUGUACUUUUAAACACUGUGUAGAUCAUAAGAAUGCCGAAGUGGGAGAGUUAGCAUGAUACGGUUAUGGAGAGAACAACCAUGGAAUAAGGAACUCAGUUCUAGGAAUAGUCCCGGUUGUAGUUCGAUUGAAGUUAAUGGUAUUUCUUAAGAAUUUGUCGGUAGGGAUAAAUCAUGUCUAACUGCAUUACAGAUUAGUUUACAAAUUGAUAAAUCAAUAAAGUUAAAAAAGACUACAAUUAAUGGUGGGUUGGUUUUCCAGAUCGUUUUACAAUCUCGUCAUCAAAUUCGUGAAGCAAAAAUGGCGCAUGCACUUAUGAUAAAUAAUUCAUGGUUCUAUUUGUGAUGUUGAUUCUUGGUUUUACUUUAUUAACUAAUGUUCAGUAGCCUUUUGAUUUGAUUGUUUUUGUUAUCAUAUGUUAGGUUUAUUCCUAUUUUCUUGAACUACAGGUGAUACGUGGUCAGGUUCUGAAGGUGACAUGGUGAAGGUCUGGCCUUGGGAACCCACUGAAAACUGCGCUAAGCAACUGCAGAUGAUGCAAUAUUCUCACGAAUGGCAGUGAAUCGUAAAGGUGGGGCAAAACAGAUGAAAUUGAAGAGACAAAUAAAGAAGCGAUCAUGAUUGCAACAUCGAAAUUGGAUACAAGUAUAUACACCUCUAUAAUUGAAUGUUGAGAGCUCAUAUAUGGUAACUCAACAAGCAACGUCUCAACUUGGGAAAGCCGUGAAGACCCAAAAAAAAAAUAAUUCAUCCCUGCCUGCCCAUUGUGAUAAUUGUCCUGGAAAUUUAAGUAGAGGAAACUUGGCGUCUCGAUCGACUAUUUGGGAAAGCCCCUAAUUGGACACCUAAAAGAUCUUUGGGAGCCUUUUUUCAGAUUAAUUUGAAGGUGCGGUGCAUGAUAUUCUGCAUUGGUUGGAGAUUUCUUCUUCUCGAUAAAGAUAAAGCUAAGCUGAACUCAGCAUUUUACCCAUGUUGUCAUGGAGACAUUAGCCAAGUUUCUAGCUUGCAGUCAACUCAUUAGAUAUCCGAUCAGAUUUAUGUUCAUUGCUUUCAAUAAUAUUGAUGUCCGCAGGUUUGGGGCCUAGAGGAACCAGGGGUAUCCACUGAACUGAGAUUUCAGAUCGAUUGCAAUUUUGUUCAAACAUUUGGACAACACGGGAGAAUAAGCUCUUAAGUUAUGAAAGAGAGUCUGGGAUGACACUAAUUUGGGUAGGUACGUGUUGGUCUGUGAUGCAGAUGAGCAGGCUAUAGCCUAUUUGGAGGCUAAAAAUCCAAGUGUCGUAAUUUAGAUCCUUAGGGGUCCAUUUAGAUGGGAAACAAGCCAAAGAACAGGACAAGGAAAUCUUCGAUUGCCUUGGUCUUCAGAAUUUAGCCAAAUUCCAUCGUUUAGGGCAUCAAACAUACGUUUUUGCUAUUUUAGGAAAGUUUUUAUUUUGUUAAUAACUCUUUCGUUAGGAGUCUG